UAUGUGUAUAUGUAAAUGUAUACACACACAUGCAUACAUGCAUAUAUAUGUGUGUGUGCUCUUAACAGCAAUA
rnacentral:miRNA from 1 species